rnacentral:rRNA from 1 species
UUAGUUUUAUUGUAGUUAAAAAAUUUACCUUUGUGUUUAUUUAUGUAAAGGUUUUUUUAUUUCAUUAUUAAGCCAUAAUUUUUUUUACUUAGAACAUAUUUUUUUUUAGAUAAAUUCAAGUGCCAGCAAUCGCGGUUAUACUUGAUUAAAAAAAAAUUUUUUUUCAUAAUCACAUAGGAUUUUAAAAAAAAAGUGGAAUUUUUUUUAAAGAUUAUAUAUAAUAAAAAACGGAUUUGGUACCCGUGUAUUAGUGUGAAUUUAUAAGAAGUAAGAGAAAAUUAUACAAUUAGACGGUUAAAAAAAAAAUAGAGGAACAUGUUUUUAAUCCGAAAAUACACGAUAUAUAGAUUUUUUUAAAAGUUGUAUAUGUCCGUUUUAAAUAAAAAAAUAAUUUUUUUUUUUNUAUUUUUUUUUUAAAAUAUUUAGAAAAUAUCAUAUAGAGUACUCACCGCCCGCUAAUUAUAUUACCUUUAAAAGUUUUUUUUAUAAUAAGGCGUAACAAGGUAGGUAGUCUAAAAAGACCACCUAGUUAAUUUUAUUUUUUUUUUUUNNNAAA